rnacentral:rRNA from 1 species
AUUGAACGCUGGCGGCAGGCCUAACACAUGCAAGUCGAGCGGAUGAAGGGAGCUUGCUCCUGGAUUCAGCGGCGGACGGGUGAUUAAUGCCUAGGAAUCUGCCUGGUAGUGGGGGAUAACGUCCGGAAACGGGCGCUAAUACCGCAUACGUCCUGAGGGAGAAAGUGGGGGAUCUUCGGACCUCACGCUAUCAGAUGAGCCUAGGUCGGAUUAGCUAGUUGGUGGGGUAAAGGCCUACCAAGGCGACGAUCCGUAACUGGUCUGAGAGGAUGAUCAGUCACACUGGAACUGAGACACGGUCCAGACUCCUACGGGAGGCAGCAGUGGGGAAUAUUGGACAAAGGGCGAAAGCCUGAUCCAGCCAUGCCGCGUGUGUGAAGAAGGUCUUCGGAUUGUAAAGCACUUUAAGUUGGGAGGAAGGGCAGUAAGUUAAUACCUUGCUGUUUUGACGUUACCAACAGAAUAAGCACCGGCUAACUUCGUG